rnacentral:RNase_P_RNA from 1 species
GAGGAAAGUCCGGGCACCUCAGGGCAGUGUGCCGUGUGAAAACGCGGGGGCUGGCGGCGUAAGCUUCCGGUCACGGAAAGUGUCACAGAAAACAUACCGCCGCGGGCAACUGCGGUAAGGGUGAAAAGGCGAGGUAAGAGCUCACCGCUCCGACUGAAAGGAAGGAGGCAGGACAAACCCCACACGGUGCAAGACAGAACAGGGGAAACGGCCCGCCCUGGCCGCACUGACUCCGCAAGGAGUUGGGAUAACCCCGGGUAUUAGUCGCACCUCGCGCAAAGCGGGGAGCACGGGGCGCAAGCCCCGGGCUAGAGAAAUGACCGCCACCUUUUGCGGCAACGCGGGAGGCACAGAACCCGGCUUA